rnacentral:rRNA from 1 species
CAUGGGCGGAGCCUGACCCAGCCAUGCCGCGUGCAGGAUGAAGGCCUUCUGGGUUGUAAACUGCUUUUACAGGGGAAGAAAACGCCCAUGCGUGGGAAACUGACGGUACCCUGGGAAUAAGCACCGGCUAACUCCGUGCCAGCAGCCGCGGUAAUACGGAGGGUGCAAGCGUUGUCCGGAUUUAUUGGGUUUAAAGGGUGCGUAGGCGGCCCAUUAAGUCAGUGGUGAAAGCCCGGGGCUCAACCCCGGAACCGCCAUUGAUACUGGUGGGCUUGAGUAUGGACGAGGUUGGCGGAAUUGAGGGUGUAGCGGUGAAAUGCUUAGAUACCCUCAAGAACACCGAUUGCGUAGGCAGCUAACUAGGCCAUAACUGACGCUGAGGCACGAAAGCGUGGGGAGCGAACAGGAUUAGAUACCCUGGUAGUCCACGCCGUAAACGAUGACUACUCGAUGUCGGCGACAGACUGUCGGCGUCUUAGCGAAAGCGUUAAGUAGUCCACCUGGGGAGUACGCCCGCAAGGGUGAAACUCAAAUGAAAUUGACGGA